rnacentral:lncRNA from 1 species
GCCCGAGAGACCCGCGCUCAUGGACAAGUGUCGCCCGCGCCGGGCAGUGCCGUGGAGUCAGACCACGCAGUGACAGGCCGGAGGCGGCUCGAGGGAUCCAUAAUUUAUGAUGUGUUCUUACCAAUCCGGUUUGGGAUUUCACAAGCGUUGUCAGUUUCCUUCCCAUUUGUUGCUUCCGUCUGUCCUUUUGGAGAAAACUCUUUCCCUCCCCAGGACAGAAGCAGUUGCCCUACUGAAUUAAUGUGAUAAGGAGAAAAAAAAUGGGAUUGAAGAUUAAGGGAAUGGGUGAACACAGAACAUCUCAGGAUGGGGCAAUAUUUGGUGAGACCAUAUUAGAUUCUACCAAAUUACAAAUAUGUUCCAGUGCUGGGCCUGGAGAAGGCAGGGGCCUUGGCUCUUCCACGGUGGCUGUUCAUCAGCACUCACACAUCCACUACACUGGUGUAGUCACACACUGGAAGGCUGCUUUCUCCUGCUACUUACAAAACAAACUAACAAAUAAACAACAACAACAAAAACAAAACAGAAUAAAAAAACUCAAAACUAAACCAAAAACAACAAAUGCCAAACAAUACUCAAAGAACUACCAAAUUAUUCCCUGGGCCCCUGAAUCAGAUGGAGCUGAAUCAUUUUGGCUGCUAACUGAGUGA